GACGAACGCUGGCGGCGUGCCUAAUACAUGCAAGUCGAACGCAGUGGGGACGGGUGAGUAACACGUGGGUAACCUCCCAUCAGAGGGGAUAACACUUGGAAACAGGUGCUAAACCGAUACUGAUGGAUGGACCCGCGGUGCAUUAGCUAGUUGGUGAGGUAACGGCUCACCAAGGCCACGAUGCAUAGCCAACCUGAGAGGGUGAUCGGCCACACUGGGACUGAGACACGGCCCAGACUCCUACGGGAGGCAGCAGUAGGGAAUCUUCGGCAAUGGACGAAAGUCUGACCGAGCAACGCCGCGUGAGUGAAGAAGGUUUUCGGAUUGUAAAACUCUGUUGUUAGGGAAGCGGUACCUACACAGAAAGCCCCGGCUAACUACGUGCCAGCAGCCGCGGUAAUUC
rnacentral:rRNA from 1 species